UCGGGAAUAUUGCGCAAUGGAGGAAACUACUGACGCAGUGACGCCGCGUAUAGGAAGAAGGUUUUCGGAUUGUAAACUAUUGUCGUUAGGGAAGAUACAAGACAGUACCUAAGGAGGAAGCCCCGGCUAACUAUGUGCCAGCAGCCGCGGUAAUACAUAGGGGGCAAGCGUUAUCCGGAUUUAUUGGGUGUAAAGGGUGCGUAGAGUGGAGGAGCAGUUGGUUGUGAAAUCCCUCGGCUCAACUGAGGAACUGCAACCAAAACUACUUCCCUUGAGUGUCGGAGAGGAAAGUGGAAUUCCUAGUGUAGCGGUGAAAUGCGUAGAUAUUAGGAGGAACACCAGUGGCGAAGGCGACUUUCUGGACGAUAACUGACAUUGAGGCACGAAAGUGUGGGGUAGCAAACAGGAUUAGAUACCC
rnacentral:rRNA from 1 species